CAAAAAACACACACUCACUGGCCCCCUUCGUUCGUGCGGAAAUCGUCAUCUUCGGAGGCUGUCGGCAAUCUCCGGUAGUUUAAUUUGAGUAAGUAUGGAAGCCCAACUCCCAGAAGAAAAAAAAAGAUCAAAUAGUAGCAGUCAAGUCAUGUUCUGUACCAGCAAACAUAUGACUUCCAAUGAUCUUCUCCACAUGUUCAACAGUCUGUGCUUAUG